rnacentral:lncRNA from 1 species
AGACGUCCCAGAGCCCUGACUCUGCUGCCAGCUUGCUUUACAGUGAGGCCAAGGAAGGAGCCACGGAGGGUGUGCUGGCCCUAGGAGCAGGAUUCCUGUGUGUUCACUAAGCUUGCAGCAUCAAGAAGCCACCAGCCAGCAUGGACAUGAGGGAAAACAAAACACUCAUGGGAAGAAGCGGGACCAGGCUCCAGCCGCAAAGUCGCCCUUCAUGCUUCACGCAAGAAAAAGGCCUCAGAGGGAGCUGUGAGGACAUGAUCAAAUCACUGUGCCAGCUGGUCACCAGGGGGCCACCACUCCAAGGAACCCUGAAGAUGGUGGACAGGAAUUAGGAAGUGUUGAACCGUCUUAGAUGGAAUGCUGUUCAUAUGAAAGCAAGACGCUCUAUCCUAGAAUUGCUUUUAUCAUUUGGUUCUAUUGCCACUUUUCGAAAAUUGUGUGACGUGAAGCAUGCAGAAAUAAAAAGAAGUAACACA